GACGUAGGGCGCGAGCGUUGUCCGGAUUUAUUGGGCGUAAAGAGCUCGUAGGCGGCUUGUCGCGUCGUCCGUGAAAACCUGCGGCUCAACUGCAGUCUGGCGGUCGAUACGGGCGGGCUGGAGUUCGGUAGGGGAGACUGGAAUUCCUGGUGUAGCGGUGGAAUGCGCAGAUAUCAGGAGGAACACCGGUGGCGAAGGCGGGUCUCUGGGCAGUAACUGACGCUGAGGAGCGAAAGCGUGGGGAGCGAACAGG
rnacentral:rRNA from 1 species